GUUCCUGUAGCACAAUGGGUAGCGCGUUGGACUUCUCAUCCAAAGGUCGUGGGGUUCGAGUCCCCCUGGAAUG